rnacentral:rRNA from 1 species
AUUGAACGCUGGCGGCAGGCCUAACACAUGCAAGUCGAACGAGUGGCGGACGGGUGAGUAAUGUCUGGGAAUCUGCCUGAUGGAGGGGGAUAACUACUGGAAACGGUCGCUAAUACCGCAUACCAUCAGAUGUGCCCAUAUGGGAUUAGCUUGUUGGUGGGGUAACGGCUCACCAAGGAGACGAUCCCUAGCUGGUCUGAGAGGAUGACCAGCCACACUGGGACUGGGACACGGUCCAGACUCCUACGGGAGGCAGCAGUGGGGAAUAUUGCACAAUGGGCGCAAGCCUGAUGCAGCCAUGCAGCGUGUAUGAAGAAGGCCUUCGGGUUGUAAAGUACUUUCAGCGAGGAGGCGUUACCCGCAGAAGAAGCACCGGCUAACUCCGUGCCAGCAGCCGCGGUAAUAC